GUACGAGAGGUAUGUGUUCCGCUCGUGCGUUCAGAUUCAAGGAGAAAGCUUCGACUCUUUCUUCACCGACCUGAAGCUAAAAGCGAAAACGUGCAACUUUGGUGUUUUGACUGAUUCGCUGAUUAGGGAUCAAAUUGUCUUUGGCAUUCACGAGAAGAAAGUGAGGGAAAGACUGCUUAGGGAAGUGGAGCUGACGUUAGAUGAUGCUGUCAAGAUUUGUCAUGCGAGUGAACUUCCUUUGCUGCAUUCGAAAACUUUCAGUGACAAAGUGAGCGUUGCUGUUCCUGACAGUCCAGUAGUCGGCGCCGUCACUCCACAAAUGAAAAAGCGAAGUGAACGAUCCACGCCGAGGACAGGCACUGAGGCAUUCAGUUGUAAAAGAUGUGGUUCGGUGCAUCAACCCAGGCGAUGCCCGGCUUAUGGGAAGCAAUGUGCAAAAUGCAAAGGUAUGAACCACUUUGCUAAACAAUGUUUCUCAAAGAAGAAUAAGUCGAAGUCAACAACAAAUGUGCAUGCUGUGGAAGAGAUGGCAUUGUCAGAGACUUUCUUUGUGGGAAUGAUCAACGGUGAUACAGAAAGUGUUCAGCAAAGCAAUGAGAAUAAAGAAGAGAAUGUCUCAAAUGUGGACAGUGUGUCUGGGGAUAAAUGGAUUGUGUCAUUAGAAAUAAAUGGGUCCAUUGUCUCACUGAAACUUGAUACUGGAGCUAAGGCUAAUCUGAUAAGCACAAGCGACAUAAGGGAGAUGAAAAUUAGACCUCACAUUCGGAAAAGUCCAGUGUCGCUUAAAGCUUACAAUGGGCAGGACAUAAAGACUCAAGGUGUGUGUAGACUCAAGGCACGUGUAAAGAGCAAAAUUCAUCGCCUUGUCUUUGUUGUAGUCCCCCAUGAUCAUCACUCCCUUCUUGGUGACAAAGCCUGUGAGGAGUUAGGAUUGGUCAAACGAGUCUAUUGCAUCAAUAGUCAUGAUGUAGCAUUGGCACAACAAGGAACUGCAAAUGAUAUUGUCUGCAGAUUUGAAGAUGUUUUCAAGGGGCUGGGAGCUCUCCCAUUCACUUACAAAAUUCAGCUUAAAGAUGAUGCUCAGCCUGUGAUACAUGCUCCAAGAAGAGUUUCAGCACCACUAAAAGAUAAACUGAAAAAGGAGCUUGACAGGAUGACAGCUCUGGUAGUUAUAAAGAAAGUGGAGGAACCCACAGACUGGGUGAACUCCAUGGUUUGUGUGAAAAAGCAGAAUGGUGAUUUGAGGGUAUGCAUGGAUCCUCGAGAUUUAAAUGCGAAUAUAAAAAGAGAACAUUACCAGAUUCCAAAGCGUGAGGAGAUUACCAGUGAGAUGGCUGGUGCUAAGUAUUUCAGCAAACUUGAUGCUUCUCAAGGGUUCUGGCAAUUAAAACUUCACGAGGACAGCACCAAAUACUGCACAUUCAACUCACCAUUUGGACGCUAUUCCUUCCUACGACUCCCCUUUGGCAUAAUAUCAGCAUCUGAAAUCUUUCAUCGUGCCAUGGAGCACAUCACAGAAGGGCUUAGUGGAGUUCGUGCAUAUGUUGAUGACAUAGUGGUAUGGGGAUCGUCAUUGCAGGAGCACAAUGAGAGGCUUCUGAAGCUACUUCUAAGAAUUCGGGAAUAUGGACUUCGACUCAACAAAGCCAAGUGUCAGUUUGGUGUAACUGAAAUUACCUUUCUGGGCGACAAGUUGUCAGGACAUGGUGUAGGGCCUGAGAAGUAAAAUACAGGCAAUCCUUGCCAUGCCGAGUCCAGCGGAUAAGAAAGGUGUGCUGCGGAUCAUGGGGAUGGUGAACUUUGUUGGUAAAUUCAUCUCAAAUCUCUCCACAAAAACAGCUAGACUCAGGGAACUGCUGAGUCACAAAAACGAGUUUCUGUGGACAAGCAAGCAUGAGGAAGAAUGGAAUAUCCUCAAGUCAACGUUAACAACGGCACCAGUUCUUGUAUACUCUGAUGCAUCCAAGAAGAUCAAAAUCUCCACAGGUGCAUCAAAAUAUGGGCUAGGCGCAGUCUUGCUCCAAGAAGAGGCUCACGGCUGGAAACCAGUAGCUUAUGCCUCCAGAACAAUGUCACAAUCUGAAAGCCGAUAUGCUCAGAUAGAGAAAGAGUGCCUGGGAC
ensembl:lncRNA